GAUGAAGAACGUAGCGAAAUGCGAUAAGUAAUGUGAAUUGCAGAAUUCAGUGAAUCAUCGAAUCUUUGAACGCACAUUGCGCCCCUUAGUAUUCCGGGGGGCAUGCCUGUUCGAGCGUCAUUAUAACCCCUCAAGCUCAGCUUGGUGUUGGGGCCUGCCGACUGGCAGCCCUUAAAAUCAGUGGCGGCGCCAUCUGGCUCUAAGCGUAGUAAUUUCUCUCGCUAUAGAGUCCCGGUGGAUGCUUGCCAGCAACCCCCAACUUUCUAUGGUUGACCUCGGAUCAGGUAGGGAUACCCGCUGAACUUAAGCAUAUCAAUAAGCGGAGGA
rnacentral:misc_RNA from 1 species